GAUGAACGCUGGCGGCGUGCCUAAUACAUGCAAGUCGAGCGAACGGACGAGAAGCUUGUUUUUCUGAUGUUAGCGGCGGACGGGUGAGUAACACGUGGAUAACCUACCUAUUUGACUGGGAUAACUUCGGGAAACCGGAGCUAAUAACAGCUAAUAUGUUGAACCGCAUGGUUCAAAAGUGAACGACGGUCUUGCUGUCACUUAUAGAUGGAUCCGCGUUGCAUUAGCUAGUUGGUAAGGUAACGGCUUACCAAGGCAACGAUGCGUAGCCGACCUGAGAGGGUGAUCGGCCACACUGGAACUGAGACACGGUCCAGACUCCUACGGGAGGCAGCAGUAGGGAAUCUUCGGCAAUGGGCGAAAGCCUGACGGAGCAACGCCGCGUGGGUGAUGAAGGUCUUCGGAUCGUAAAACUCUUUUGUUAGGAAAGAACAGAUGUGUAUGUAUCUGCGCACAUCUUGACGGUACCUAAACAGAAAGCAACGGCUAACUUCGUG
rnacentral:rRNA from 1 species